GGAGGGCUAGACCUAACUGGUAAGGCAGUGGAUUUGAAAUCCACCGUCCCUCGGGACUUGGGGGUUCGAAUCCCUCGCCCUCCG
rnacentral:tRNA from 1 species